GUGCUCGCUCUGGCAGCACAUAUACUAAAAUUGGAACGACAUGGAGAAGAUUAGCAUGGCCCCUGUGCAAGGAUGAUACACAAAUUUGUGAAGCAUUCCCUAUUUUU
rnacentral:snRNA from 1 species